ACUGGUACUCGAGUGGCGAACGGGUGAGUAACACGUGGGUGAUCUGCCUUGCACUCUGGGAUAAGCUUGGGAAACUGGGUCUAAUACCGGAUAGGAACCGUCUUUAGUGUGGUGGUUGGAAAGUUUUUCGGUGCAAGAUGAGCUCGCGGCCUAUCAGCUUGUUGGUGGGGUAAUGGCCUACCAAGGCGUCGACGGGUAGCCGGCCUGAGAGGGUGUACGGCCACAUUGGGACUGAGAUACGGCCCAG
rnacentral:rRNA from 1 species